UACGUAGGGUGCGAGCGUUGUCCGGAAUUAUUGGGCGUAAAGGGCUCGUAGGCGGCCAACUAAGUCGGACGUGAAAUCCCUCAGCUUAACUGGGGAACUGCGUCCGAUACUGGAUGGCUUGGAUUUGGGAGAGGGAUGCGGAAUUCCAGGUGUAGCGGUGAAAUGCGUAGAUAUCUGGAGGAACACCGGUGGCGAAGGCGGCAUCCUGGACCAAUAUUGACGCUGAGGAGCGAAAGCCAGGGGAGCAAACGGG
rnacentral:rRNA from 1 species